rnacentral:rRNA from 1 species
GACGAACGCUGGCGGCGUGCUUAACACAUGCAAGUCGAACGGUAAGGCCCUUCGGGGUACACGAGUGGCGAACGGGUGAGUAGCACAUGGGUGAUCUGCCCUGCACUUCGGGAUAAGCCUGGGAAACUGGGUCUAAUACCGGAUAGGACCACUGCCUGCAUGGGUGGUGGUGGAAAGCUUUUGCGGUGUGGGAUGGGCCCGCGGCCUAUCAGCUUGUUGGUGGGGUGAUGGCCUACCAAGGCGACGACGGGUAGCCGGCCUGAGAGGGUGACCGGCCACACUGGGACUGGGAUACGGCCCAGACUCCUACGGGAGGCAGCAGUGGGGAAUAUUGCACAAUGGGCGCAAGCCUGAUGCAGCGACGCCGCGUGAGGGAUGACGGCCUUCGGGUUGUAAACCUCUUUCAGCACCGACGAAGCGCAAGUGACGGUAGGUGCAGAAGAAGGACCGGCCAACUACGUGCCAGCCGCCGCCGUAA